rnacentral:misc_RNA from 1 species
AUGAGGUGGACUUGUCAACAGAAGUCUUUAUCGACACGCAUUCUGGUAUGAGCGAUGGAGAAGUUGCAUAAGAUCUAACUUCAACUUUGAAGUAGUUGUGAGAAGUAAUAUAUACUUGUUUUGAAUUUGAACAAAUAUGCAAACUAUAUUUUUUCAGUUGAAUUUCAUUGUUUUGCUGGACAUGGUCUAAUUUGCAAUGUCAAAUAUAUUUUAUUUGUAUAUGAGUAAAAUUUCACAGGA